rnacentral:rRNA from 1 species
GGGCCCGCACAAGCGGUGGAGCAUGUGGUUUAAUUCGAUGCAACGCGAAGAACCUUACCUACUCUUGACAUCCAGAGAAUUCGCUAGAGAUAGCUUAGUGCCUUCGGGAACUCUGAGACAGGUGCUGCAUGGCUGUCGUCAGCUCGUGUUGUGAAAUGUUGGGUUAAGUCCCGCAACGAGCGCAACCCUUAUCCUUGUUUGCCAGCACAUAAUGGUGGGAACUCCAGGGAGACUGCCGGUGAUAAACCAGAGGAAGGUGGGGACGACGUCAAGUCAUCAUGGCCCUUACGAGUAGGGCUACACACGUGCUACAAUGGCGUAUACAGAGGGCUGCAAGCUAGCGAUAGUAAGCGAAUCCCACAAAGUACGUCGUAGUCCGGAUUGGAGUCUGCAACUCGACUCCAUGAAGUCGGAAUCGCUAGUAA